rnacentral:lncRNA from 1 species
CUACUGCAGUUUCAUAUGCAAAGCAUGCAUCAGCCACAUCCAUGCUAUCUCCUAAAGCAGUCAUUCUGAAACCCAAUCUGGGGACAGUGCAGACUAAAUAAAAUUUCAUUUUGAUUUGGCCUCCCGCUGCGAAUGGGACUGCUUUGUCUCAGCCGACAGAACCAGCAAGCCAGAAAGGGAAUGAAGACAUUUGGAGAAGAAGCGUUUACUGAAAGGAGAUUCCUGGGCUGGAGGAAAACCAUGAUCUACAGUUCAUGUUGACAGAUAUUGUAUUUUUGGUCCUAGAUCUGACUUUUGAAAUGACUUAUCACAAAUUCAAAUUUAGCAAUCAUGAGUGAAGUACCCACGAUGUGCUAAGCAUCUACCUCUGCAGAUAGAAGAACACUUACUGUUCCUGAGCAUGGGAGGGAAUAGAAGUUCCUGGGUCCUGGCCUCACCUCAUCAGGCACUGCCAAAUUUGACACCUCCUUCCUGUUCACGGCAGUCCUUUGCGAUAGGGUAUUAGAUGCCACCAAGUAGCUGCAUAACUCACCCAUUUGGUCAGAGCCUGGGUCUAAGCCAGGUCUGACAGACUCCAAAGCAAGCCCUGUUUACAGCAUGACUGGGAUCCAGUGGACGAGGGAACUGAGCUGUCAAAACUAAGUGACUUGAUUGAGGCCAUGCAGCUGGCGAGGGGAGGACCAGGAUCUGAACCCAACUGGGUCUCCCAAGCCUGGGCCACUGAACCAUUUCACCUCUUGGAAAAACUUAAUGGUCAGAGUGGCCCACCCAGUCCAUGGACAGCAUGGAGGAUAAACUGCUUCCCUAGAAAUCCUCUCCAGCAUUCUUGCCACCACGACUUUGGGACACAUUGACCAUGAGGAGGAGCUGGUCAAUGAUGGACAGGAGUCCAGAUUAGCAGAGAUGUGGUAAUAAGGACACCGAUGCCUAAAUACUUGAAAUAUCCAAUAGGAAGCAUUCCACCUUUGUGCAAAUGCGAACCACAUCUCACCAAGUUCAGGCCAAGGCUGCCACCGGUGACGUUUUGGAAAAGAAAAAAAAAAGCGGGGGGAGAGGAGAGAAACAGAGAAGCAAGGAAUGCAGAAGAGAGCAGAGGCCACAAAAACAGCAGCAACGUGUCCUGUGUAUUCUGUUUCCUUGUAAAACUAUGAAGCAUGUUAAGGAGAUACUUCAUUUUUUGAGGAUUCAUACUCUUGUUUAUAUUAUAAUAAAAACAACCCAUGUUCUUUCUAAAAAUUUAGGCAAUGCCUUCGUGCACAUAAAAGUAAAACAAAAUCACCUGUAAUCCUACCACACGCAGAUCAGCACUUGCUAAUCUUUUCACAGGGAUCCUAAGAAUAUCCUAUUCUCUAUAGAAUAUAGUUGAUUUAUGUUACCUAAUAACUAACUGUUAACCAUUUUAAAAUUCUUCAGUUUUACAUUAUGCUAGAAAAAAGGAGCCGUCACUCUACGUGACAUUUCUGUAUAUUGGUUUAUUCAUUCAAUAAACAUUUUUUAAGUACCUAAAAAAAAAAAAAAAAAAAA